AGUGAACGCUGGCGGUAGGCCUAACACAUGCAAGUCGAACGGCAGCACAGGAGAGCUUGCUCUCUGGGUGGCGAGUGGCUGACGGGUGAGGAAUACAUCGGAAUCUACUCUGUCGUGGGGGAUAACGUAGGGAAACUUACGCUAAUACCGCAUACGACCUACGGGUGAAAGCAGGGGAUCUUCGGACCUUGCGCGAUCGAAUGAGCCGAUGUCGGAUUAGCUAGUUGGCGGGGUAAAGGCGCACCAAGGCGACGAUCCGUAGCUGGUCUGAGAGGAUGAUCAGCCAAAAUGGAACUGAGAUACGGUCCAGACUCCUACGGGGGGCAGCAGUGGGGAAUAUUGGACAAUGGGCGCAAGCCUGAUCCAGCCAUACCGCGUGGGUGAAGAAGGCCUUCGGGUUGUAAAGCCCUUUUGUUGGGAAAGAAAUCCAGCUGGCUAAUACCCGGUUGGGAUGACGGUACCCAAAGGAUAAGCACCGGCUAACUUCGUGCCAGCAGCCGCCGUAA
rnacentral:rRNA from 1 species